rnacentral:rRNA from 1 species
UACGUAGGGUGCAAGCGUUGUCCGGAAUUAUUGGGCGUAAAGAGCUCGUAGGCGGUCUGUCACGUCGGCUGUGAAAACCCGAGGCUCAACCUCGGGCCUGCAGUCGAUACGGGCAAACUAGAGUACUGCAGGGGAGACUGGAAUUCCUGGUGUAGCGGUGAAAUGCGCAGAUAUCAGGAGGAACACCGGUGGCGAAGGCGGGUCUCUGGGCAGUAACUGACGCUGAGGAGCGAAAGCGUGGGUAGCAAACAGG